UACGUAGGUGGCAAGCGUUAUCCGGAUUUAUUGGGUGUAAAGGGCGUGUAGGCGGGAGCGCAAGUUAGAUGUGAAAACUCAGGGCUCAACCCUGAGCCUGCAUUUGAAACUGUGUUUCUUGAGUGCUGGAGAGGCAAUCGGAAUUCCGUGUGUAGCGGUGAAAUGCGUAGAUAUACGGAGGAACACCAGUGGCGAAGGCGGAUUGCUGGGCAGUAACUGACGCUGAGGCGCGAAAGCGUGGGGAGCAAACAGG
rnacentral:rRNA from 1 species